GGAAAUGUCUCCCAUAAUUUUUCACUAAAACCCUAGCCUCCUUUCCAACACAAACAGUAUUUUGUUGUUUUUUCUUUCCAAGAUACAGUCGUUGCCGAAACUUCCUCCUACGAAGCAACCUCCUCUGAGAUCCUACCUCCUCCGACGAAGCGACCUCUUCCGAGGACCCUACCACCGACGACGACCACCAUCCUGCCGUCACGACCCUACCUCUGACGAUGACCACCAUCCUGCCGUCACGACCAUACCUCCAACAACGACCACCCUUCUGCCGUCACCACCCUUCGACCUUCUCAGCAACUUUUCUCUGCGCGUUUGUGAAUCUCAAGUCAGGAUUAUCUACAAAUGCUCGCGUGUCUUUGAGGUAUUUGAUGAUCCUACAGAAUUAACACAAGAUGAUUUGUAUGAUUUGUGAUUCCGUUGGGAAAAAUGUUUCUUUGAGUUGUAUUAGAUGCAGAUUUUAAGCCGCAUUUCUACUUAUUGUAAAGAUAUUAUAAGUUUACUAAUAAUUAUUACUCAUAUUUGAUCUAUGAAUAUGUAUGAAUGAAGUUUAAGAGAGUUGUAGACUAA